rnacentral:rRNA from 1 species
UACGCGAGCUGGGUUUAGAACGUCGUGAGACAGUUCGGUCCCUAUCUGCCGUGGGCGCUGGAGAAUUGAGGGGGGCUGCUCCUAGUACGAGAGGACCGGAGUGGACGCAUCACUGGUGUUCGGGUUGUCAUGCCAAUGGCACUGCCCGGUAGCUAAAUGCGGAAGAGAUAAGUGCUGAAAGCAUCUAAGCACGAAACUUGCCCCGAGAUGAGUUCUCCCUGACUCCUUGAGAGUCCUGAAGGAACGUUGAAGACGACGACGUUGAUAGGCCGGGUGUGUAAGCGCAGCGAUGCGUUGAGCUAACCGGUACUAAUGAACCGUGAGGCUUAACCUU